rnacentral:rRNA from 1 species
GGGUUGUGAGGUUAAGCGACUAAGCGUACACGGUGGAUGCCCUGGCAGUCAGAGGCGAUGAAGGACGUGCUAAUCUGCGAUAAGCGUCGGUAAGGUGAUAUGAACCGUUAUAACCGGCGAUUUCCGAAUGGGGAAACCCAGUGUGAUUCGUCACACUAUCAUUAACUGAAUCCAUAGGUUAAUGAGGCGAACCGGGGGAACUGAAACAUCUAAGUACCCCGAGGAAAAGAAAUCAACCGAGAUUCCCCCAGUAGCGGCGAGCGAACGGGGAGGAGCCCAGAGCCUGAAUCAGUGUGUGUGUUAGUGGAAGCGUCUGGAAAGGCGCGCGAUACAGGGUG